UACAGAGGGGGCAAGCGUUGUUCGGAAUUACUGGGCGUAAAGGGCGCGUAGGCGGCCGCUUAAGUCGAACGUGAAAUCCCCGGGCUCAACCCGGGAACUGCGUCCGAUACUGGGGGGCUUGAAUUCGGGAGAGGGAUGCGGAAUUCCAGGUGUAGCGGUGAAAUGCGUAGAUAUCUGGAGGAACACCGGUGGCGAAGGCGGCAUCCUGGACCGAGAUUGACGCUGAGGCGCGAAAGCCAGGGGGAGCAAAC
rnacentral:rRNA from 1 species